AAGUAAAGCAAUAGCUGAUUGCAUUUAAUUAAAUGUAGUUACUACUUGGUAGUUUAAAUUUCUGGGUGGNAAUUNAUGAUAAUGACGUUAUCUAUCUAUUAGUCUUGACCNAAAUUACGUGCCAGCAGUCGCGGUAAUACGUAGAAGACAAGUGUUAUUCAUCUUUAUUAGGUUUAAAGAGUACCAAGACGGUUAAUAAAGCCCAAAAUAAAUACAGGGGACACAUUAACUAGAGUUAUAUGAAAAGAAGCUCUAAGGUACUGUUGAGUGAAGAGAUGAAAUUUUAUGAUACCAGAUAAUUGGCACAGAUUAAUGCGAAGGCAUCUUCUUAUGUAAUAACUGACGUUGUAGGACGAAGGCUUAGGGAGUGAACAGGAUUAGGUACCCUAGUAAUCUUGGCAGAAAAUGAUGAAUGUCAUAGGUUCAAUGGACAGAUGGGUAUAGAUAAACUAUUAACAUAAAUGGGUAGUUCUUGCCCUGCCCUGUCCCUAUUGUGUCUAUAAAUGAAAGUGUMAGCAUUCCACCUCAAGAGUAAUUUGGCAACAUUGGAACUGAAAUCAUUAGACCGUUUCUGAAACCAGUAGUGAAGUAUGUUGUUUAAUUAGAUGAUACACAAGAACCUUACCACAAUUUGAAUAUAUAUAGAUUUAUAUAUAUAUAUAUAUAUAUAUAAAUAUAAUGUAUUUACAAGCGCUGCACGGCUGUCUACAGUUAAUGUCGUGAGAUUUUGGUUAGCUCCAUAAAAUUGACGUAAACCCUAAUUUUAUUUAUAAAUAUAAUUUACAUUGCUAUAUUUGAUGUUAAAGAGGGAAC
rnacentral:rRNA from 1 species